GACAGAGGGUGCAAACGUUGUUCGGAAUUACUGGGCGUAAAGCGAGUGUAGGCGGUGUGGUAAGUCGGAUGUGAAAGCCCCGGGCUCAACCCGGGAAGUGCACUCGAUACUGCCACGCUAGAGUAUCGGAGAGGUUGGUGGAAUUCUCGGUGCAGAGGUGAAAUUCGUAGAUAUCGAGAGGAACACCGGUGGCGAAGGCGGCCAACUGGACGAAUACUGACGCUGAGACUCGAAAGCGUGGGGAGCAAACAGG
rnacentral:rRNA from 1 species